AUUGAACGCUGGCGGCAUGCCUUACACAUGCAAGUCGAACGGCAGCACGGGGCAACCUGGUGGCGAGUGGCGAACGGGUGAGUAAUGCAUCGGAACGUGCCAUUGAGUGGGGAGUAACGUAGCGAAAGUUAGCGCUAAUACCGCAUAUUCUGUGAGCAGGAAAGCAGGGACCGCAAGGCCUUGCGCUCUUUGAGCGGCCGAUGUCAGAUUAGCUAGUUGGUGAGGUAAAGGCUUACCAAGGCGACGAUCUGUAGCGGGUCUGAGAGGAUGAUCCGCCACACUGGAACUGAGACACGGUCCAGACUCCUACGGGAGGCAGCAGUGGGGAAGUUUUGGACAAUGGGCGCAAGCCUGAUCCAGCCAUGCCGCGUGAGUGAAGAAGGCCUCGGUU
rnacentral:rRNA from 1 species